GAUGCUAGCCAACUCAAGAUAUUUUCAAGAUUGACCAAAAUUGAUAAUAACAGAAAAAAUAUAUGCGUAAUAUAAUUAUCCAAUUUAUACCGGUCAAUAGGAUUCAGGAGCUCGUGGGAUUGCCUGUCAUGAGCAGAUAAGGAAGAAUGAUAAUGAUGUAUUUCUCUAGAUAAGAUAAGAUAUAACAAACAUAUCUCGCUCGAUAUGAUAAGACUAACAAUCUGAUUCUCUCCGCGAUAUUUUUGUCCUCAUCUAUAAAUAAAGGGCCA
rnacentral:lncRNA from 1 species